rnacentral:rRNA from 1 species
UACAGAGGUCUCAAGCGUUGUUCGGAAUCAUUGGGCGUAAAGCGCACGUAGGCGGCUAUGUAAGUCGGGUGUGAAAGCCCUCGGCUCAACCGAGGAAGUGCAUUCGAAACUGCAUGGCUUGAGUAUCGGAGAGGAUAGCGGAAUUCCCGGUGUAGAGGUGAAAUUCGUAGAUAUCGGGAGGAACACCAGUGGCGAAGGCGGCUAUCUGGACGAAUACUGACGCUGAAGUUCGAAAGCGUGGGGAGCAAACAGG